CAGAAAGCGUCUACCAUGCACCUAUGGACACUUCCAGCUCCUCCAGGUACAGCAGAAAAUCAGCAAGUAUUUAUGAAACCAAGCCUGAGUCAUCGGGACUAGAAACUUCUACCAACAGGAACCAAAAUCCCAGUCCCAACAGUACCAGGCAAAAACGAGAUCCUGAAGCUAAGGAGAAGGAUGUCACCAGGCGCUUUUCCCUUGCCUCCUCCCUUGGCACCACAGCUCCCACCCCCACUGGCCUCAGCAAAGGUCCUCUAGGUCCUGCAGUUAAAGUCAAGAGACAUGAAAUAAAGAGUGACCCAACACCACUUGGGUUUGAAGAUGCUUUUGAGAAUUCCAUCCUGGCCCAGGGCAAAUGCAGUGGCAGGCCCACCACAAGAACGGUACCCAGAUCUGCCUCCCAGACAGGCUGGCCCAGCAGGCAGCUUCCUUCUCUGGAUACUUUUGAGGAUUUUGAAGUCAUUCCCUCCAGUACAGAUGAACUCUCCAACUCUUCAGACAUGGAAGAAGACAUCAGCACCCAUAAUGUGUCCGGCCUUUUCCGAGUAGAGGGCAGUUAUGAAACCUGCUCCCCAGAUUCUCUCACCCUGGAGGAUGGUGACUUGGUGCAGUUUGUACAGGAGGGAGAAAAUGGACAAUGGUUAGUAAAGAAAUUGCUUUCCGAGAAAAGUGACUGGGUACCCUCCAGUCUUCUUCAUCCUGCAGUUGUAGAUGGUGACCAGAUUCAUAAAAAUAAUAACAUAGGUAAGUACCAGGCAGGAAGCAGGAUGCAGUCCGUAAGGUGGUC
rnacentral:lncRNA from 1 species